rnacentral:rRNA from 1 species
GGAUAACCUACCCUCAGAUCUGGGAUAACUCCGGGAAACUGGAGAUAAUACCGGAUAAUCCGUGAACGCUGGAAUGCCUUACGGUUCAAAGCUUUAGCGUCUGAGGAUGGGUCUGCGGCCGAUUAGGUAGUUGCUGGGGUAACGUCCCAACAAGCCGAUAAUCGGUACGGGUUGUGAGAGCAAGAGCCCGGAGAUGGAUUCUGAGACACGAAUCCAGGUCCUACGGGGCGCAGCAGGCGCGAAAACUUUACACUGCGCGAAAGCGCGAUAAGGGGACCUCGAGUGCGUGCGCAAUGCGUACGCUUUUCAUAUGCCUAAAAAGCAUGUGGAAUAAGAGCCGGGCAAGACCAGUGCCAGCCGCCGCGGUAACACCGGCGGCUCAAGUGGUGGCCGCUAUUAUUGGGCUUAAAGGGUCCGUAGCCGGACCAGUUAGUCCCUUGGGAAAUCUUACGGCUUAACCGUAAGGCUGCCAAUGGAUACUGCUGGUCUUGGGACCGGGAGAGGCAAGAGGUACUUCAGGGGUAGGAGUGAAAUCCUGUAAUCCUUGAGGGACCGCCAGUGGCGAAGGCGUCUUGCUAGAACGGGCCCGACGGUGAGGGACGAAAGCUAGGGGCACGAACCGGAUUAGAUACCCGGGUAGUCCUAGCCGUAAACGAUGCGAGCUAGGUGUCACGUGGAUUGCGAAUCCAUGUGGUGCCGUAGGGAAACCGUGAAGCUCGCCGCCUGGGAAGUACGGCCGCAAGGCUGAAACU